AGUGUCUGCCAUAAAUUGGAAUUGAGGAAAUUUAGGGAAAGCCAGAGCAACAAAACAGCAUUUCAGAAUCAGGGAAUUUCUCAAAGCAUUUCCCGCAAACAGUAGAUUUCAGUUACAGCAGGAGAAUGGAUGGUGGGAAUGCUAGAGGGUCUCGGCUUGCUUAAAAACAGCCCGGCUGUCAAGAGUGAUGCAGCCGUGUGUGUAAUACGAUCAUCAAGGAAAGAAAGUUUUCAUGUAGCAAACAUUUCAAUGAUUCACUCCAAACUGAGAUCUUAGAGUCGCUUCCAGGGUGGUUCACUCACCAGCUUGGAACUCACCAGCACAAACGGCAACCUUCUGGUGCAAGACACAUGCCAAGGGACCCGGCAUAUUUUUGGCCAGGACUAUCUCACAUGUCUACCUCUAGCCAAAAGAGAGGCCAUGAAAUUGAGUGCAUCUGGGCAGAGGGUGCCGCAGGAAAACUGCAGUUCUGUUUGCAGGGAGGUAAAGGAGACCGGAGCAUCCAUGGAGCCCAGCAAGUUCUGUGCGACCGAAAUCCUUUUCCCGUGGUGCAAAAUAAUAAAAUAAAAUAAAAGUAUGGCUUAUUGCUUUGUCUAGAAGCAAUUUGUA